UUUGGAGUGCAGUGACGUGUCGACGAGCUGACUUGAAUCUGGGGGGGGCCCCCUUUGGGCCCCCCCAGAUCGACGACGACGGCUUGAUGGUGAACACUUUGGCAACGAAAAGAAAACGGUGGGGAAAGUGGUGCAGCUUUGGAGGUUCAACCCUGUGGCUUUGAGGGUGAGGCCACAUGCAGAGCGGCCCAGACUGGCCGGGUUGUCCUGCCGUGAGGGACUGGGUCGUUAGCGCAUUAACCCCGUUCAGUGGGCUAUAUUGCAUUGACGCGGACAGCAACGCUUUACCGCACCAGUCUACCAGACCUUUGGCUUCAAUAUUUGUUUGCUUUCUGUACAUCUGUCUUCAUAAUUCAAGGUUUUUUUUUAACAAAUGUUUUGUAUUUUGUGUCGAGUCUUUGCUUGUACUCCUGGGAAUUGUCCUUGAAGUUUGUUAAUGGAAGUUAGGAUGUAAAAUAUUUUUAUACCAGGUGCAAACCAUUUUAAAGGGGACAUAUUAUACCAGGUUUGAGUGAUUACCCUUACAAGCCGUUUUGAAAAUCUGCCCCAUAUGACAUCACUAGUGGGCGUGUCCACCUAGAUCUGUUCUGGAUAGAUGAGCAACGUUUGUCAGUCCACUGGGUAGACUGAUCUAUCCAGCAGAGAUCUAGGUGGACACGCCCACUAGUGAUGUCAUAUGGGGCAGAUUUUCGAAACGGCUUGUAGGGCUAAUCACACUCGCACCUGGUGGUAUAUGAUGUCUCCUUUAAUACAUUUCAAUUUGUACAGUGUCUUCACAAGCAAGUCCUCAACACAUUUCAAGCUUAUUUGAAUGGGGCAAGUUGUGACCUAGCCUUUUGUGAAGAUCUUUACAAAGUGAGCCUAUGUGUAAAUGUACAUUCCAUGGCUAUUCUAGAACUUGAACAGCUGGCAGUUUCACAACCUCAAAGAGGUUUAUUUGUGCCAUAGCGACACCUGCUAUUGCUUUAAAUGCUCUGAACCUUAAAGUCUGUAGGAGGCUAUUUGGACAAGACAAAGGCAUCUCUUCAUGUAUUAGUUUCGGUAUGCAUGUGUGUAGGCACUGCUAUUAAUCUAUUAAAAAGAAUUAAUAUAAAUCACAAUGGAACAUUAAUUUUAAUACUCCCAAAAAACAUUACAUAUGUACAUUUAGUGAGUGAACAUUUUAACCCCACACUCAAGUUCAAAGUGCUGAUAACGAUUACGACAUUAACACAAGUGUCGACAUGACACUCAUACAAACAAUUAUAACGAUGGAAAUGAAAGGGUGAUCUUAAAUGCGUACCUACAGUAGGAGUUUUUCAUGUGGUUUUACUUAAAAAUAAAAACGAACAAAUAAAACAACUGACCAUGAAUUCCUUCAGUUUUUUCAGUAGUAUCUCACUAGAGCUAGAAUACAUUUUUGUUUUUAAUCUUCCAUCUUUUUUCAAAUGGUGCAGAAACAUGACCUUGCUAAAAUAGGUUGAUUGACAUUAGAUUAUUAGUAGCCUUUCAUAGAAGGGCUCUGCCGCUUGAUGGAAAAGCAAUGUCCUGUUGACGUCAUGGGUCAAAGGAAAACAACUUUCAGAUGCAACGUUUCACUAGUUCUAAAUACAUGUCAAGUUCUACCAGAAUUGUAUUUCCAUCACUUGGCAAAACAUUUAACCCGGAAAAAUAAAUUUAUAGAAUAAAUUAAGCGUCAAGUGCGCCAGUCUGGGUUGGCGUUCCUCCCCUCAAGAUGAUUGUCUUUUUUUUUUUUCGU